rnacentral:lncRNA from 1 species
GUUGCUCAGUGCCAUCCAGUGAAGAAGGAAAGCUUGUAAAAAAGUGAUGGCGUGUCCACAUCUACCUUAUUUACUGGGUUUGGCACCACAUGACUUCUGCCUCAUCCCCAAAGUUACAAUGACCAUGAAAGCCUGA